ACACCCACUUUUAGAUAUGCCACAACUAGCAUAAAAAAAAAAAAAAUAAUUAUCUAUAUACCUCUCAAAACUUUAAAAAUACCUUAUUUGUUCUUUUUUUUUUUCCAAUAUACUCCUCAUAUAUUGCUCCAUUAUUCCAAAAUACUUUACAGUCAUCACUUGUUAAGUUAACUUAAGUUAAACAUGAGUUAAAUAUCUACCGAAGUUAAAAAAAUUAAAAUGCCACUUUUGUUCUUAACUUAAGAGCAAAUAAGAAACGUUGGUUAUGGUAAAAAGGUAUAUUUGAAAAGAUCAAAAAGCCAAAUACUUUAUGUGCCCCUAACUUAAGGAUAAAUAAGAAAAAUUGGCGCUAGUAAAAAAGUAUAUUUAAAAGGGUAAAAUAGUAAUUUUAUAAAGAUAACAGAGUUUAUUAACAGAUUUUAACUCUAAGGGUAUAUUUGAAAUAGGUUGGAAUGUGAAAAAAAUGUAUUUUCAAUAUUAACCUUCUAAGUGGGGUAAGUCAGAAAGUCGAAAAUUUUUCAGGAGUAUGUAAGCAACUGGCCCAAAAAAAUACAUAGAGAGAGAAAUGCUUCUAGUGGAUAAAAUGGAGUAGGAAAAAAGACAUAUAGAGAUACAUUUCUGUAUUUUUUGAUAAAACUGUAGAAAAUAUAUUAUAAUGGACUCAUUAUGAUAUGCAGAACGCGAUAUUACAUAUGAAAAUAAAUAUGAAAUUUUUUCAUAUAUCAUAUUUUUUUACUGUACGUAAUGUAAUCUUAAUU
rnacentral:lncRNA from 1 species